UCAUCAUCAUCAUCAUCAUCAUCAUCAUCAUCAUCAUCAUCAUCAUCAUCAUCAUCAUCACACAUUCCUAAACACUUGGGAAGUGUUUGAUUUGUGAUUUUGUGAUAUGAGA
rnacentral:miRNA from 11 species